AAAUAACUUGUCUCUCAAAAUAAUAGCAACAAAAGAAUCUCAAACUACCCGCCACCAAAAAAAAACACUAUGGCAACCACAACAACAAAAACCUUAUCAUUGUUCUCUCCGGAACCUGUUUUCCCUCGUAAAUCCAAACAAACCAUUUUCUCUUCUGUCUCUCCUCCACCUGCCCCUACACUUACCACUCUCCAAACCCAACCCGUGACCCAAAAACUAUCCAGGUUUGGUUUUGUGGGUCUUCUUGGGGCAGGUGUGGCCCUGACAGCAUUGGAACCAGCAUCAGCUACUGAGUUGCCUUUGCUGGGUCAACUCAGUGAACCCGCCAAUGCACUGUCUUUGCCCACCUGGGCUAUACACGUUUCCAGUGUAGUUGAGUGGAUUGCAGCAAUGGCAUUGGUUUGGCAAUAUGGGGAGAAAUCGGGGUUUGAAUCGUGGAAGGGACUUGCUUGGGGUAUGGUUCCUUUACUUGGUGGAGCAUUUUGUGCAUGCACAUGGCAUUUCUUCUACAAUUCUGAGUCCCUUGAGGUAUUAGUAGCUCUUCAAGCUGCACUGACAGUAAUAGGUAAUGCCACAAUGUGCAUUGCUGCUUUCCGUAUACACAUGUCAUCAGAGGAACGCCCCAAAAAUCUCUGACGGUUUCAGAGCCUGUAUGCAAUUAUGUCUUCUGGAAAGUAAAAUCUCUGUUUUUCAGUUGUUUGGUCUAAUUUUAGGGGGAAGGAAUUGUUAAGACAGUUAACAAUACCCUUGUUACCCCUUCAGAGUUGUUAUUACCAGCAGCUAUUAUAUUUUAUUGGCACAUAAAGCAUCCCCAGGUAAGUAAUAAUUCACCCACUUCUUUUAACUUCAAAAUAAACGCACUCUUAAAUGAUAAACGCACUAUGUUUAAUAUUCGUUCGUUUGCUUUCAAAACACUGAAGCAAAAAUUCUCACAGAAGCAAAGAACAGCCUAAGCAAAAAGUAAGCAUUGAAUGCAGAGUGCUGGAGCCUGGAAACCUUAAGAGCUCCUUGCACUCAUAGUUGCAUGCAAGAUGUGGGUGAAGACUUGGAAUGCCCUUUUCUUACUAUGCUUUCUUGGUUAAGGUGAAAAAAAGAUUAUAAUAACAGAUUAACAAUGGAAAAGGUUAGUAUUAUUUAUGUGUAGACUCCAGGGACUGGAUCAGAUGUUUAAUUAUAGUAAUACUACAGCUAGAGCUAGAUGAGUUAAGGUGGGAAAGAUUGUUUGCACGACAAAAUAGGGUCUUAAAGCCUCCUUUAUGCGUUCGAAGAACACUUGUCUUGUCACUCUUUCACUGUAUCAUUGCAGCUAUUCAAGAUGAUAAGCUUAAGUAUCUGAUUAGUUGCUGGGUUUAAAAAGUCUUUCCCAGUUUCAUUUUCAGGCUUAAAAAAUAAGCAAAUACUAGAAUCAUUGAAAUUUAGGUGAUGCAUCAACUUCCAAAGUAAAAGGGAAAAAAAGAAGAAGAGAGAGAAUCAUUGAUAUUUUAUUUUAUAAGUUGGCAAACAUACGAAGCUUCCAUCAUUUAUAUAACAUAUACUUCCAGGCAAAAUUCAUUACAUCUUGUGACUAACAUGCUUGAUUCCGCAAAGAAAAGAUAAAAACAAAUGGAAGACUACCGAGAGAUAGAGAUAUAAACAGAGUUGUUAGUCUGUACUAUGUUACAUUUUGCUAGUGUUGUGUAAAAGAAGUAGGGCGGUGGAUAAGCGAUCCAAAUGAGGGAAUUUCUUUUGAAAUUCAGACAUUAAGGCCAAGUUUUCUUGGCGGAGAAGAUUUGCUUUCUUCCUCAGCUUCUCGUUCUCUUCAACGAUUCUGUGGUUCUCUAAACACAACUUCAAGUUCUUUAGCCCCAUGUCCUUCCCCUCCAUUUCUUCAUAUCCUGACCUCCUGCUUUACACAAGGAGAGAGAACAAGGAAAAUUCCUCACGUCAAACACGUAUUUUUUGUAAGAACUAUACAGCAAAUGAAACAUCAAAACACUUGGGACAGUAAAGGUUGCGUUACAAGCAGAUGCUAGUUUUUGCAUGGUAAGACAUACCUGCAGGUGAGCCCAAUAACUUGAACCUUACAUUUCUUUGAUCUUUGCCUUCUUUUUGAAGGGUGGAAAGGAGAAGGGAAUCUCUCUACUCCGUUAGUGCACAUUAUAUUUGUUGCUAGUGGAAAGAUGAAAGAAAGCGAAUUGAGAAAAGAGGGUGGGAUGUAAGUUCCUAUAUAUACAGGUGGUUUUGUGUCAUGACAGUGUGCAUGAUUAUCUAGGGCAUAUGGUGGGAAUGCAUUUGAUAGAGAGAUAGAUUUAUCUUCUAUAGCAAUGAUGUCAUAUUGGAUUCAUGAUUGCAAUGGGAAGCUACCCCUUCUAUCGAUGAUGGAUGAGGAAAGUAACAAAGAAAAGCCUAAGAUCACGGAAGCUUCUCUUUGAUCAUCUCCUGCACACUUGGCCUUAAGGAGUAACAAAAUUUAAAAUUAAUAGAACCAAUGGAGCAUGAGUAGUAUUCAUGUUAAAGCUAUUGAUUUGAAAAGAUCUGAUUCGUUAGGAAAAGCUAACUAUAGUUUAUGUUUGAAAUUUGUAAUGGUCCUUCUGAGAUGGCACUUCGUAGUUGCAUGUCAGCAAGCAUCCAUGGAUGAUUAGGCUGAUUACAAGUGGCUUCUUGGCAUCACCUUGUCUUAUGGCCCAUUCCAAGCCUAAUGCAAUGUAGAGAUUGUAAGAGCUCACCUCUCUCUCUCUCUCUCUCGACUUUUGGGAUUGUGGACCAUUACAGGGGGGAGGUGGCAUCUUCAUUUCCACCCUUUCCUUGCUCCACUUUUGUAUGUUUCAUUAUACUUGGUUUGAACACAAAUGUAAGAGUCAGACUUGACAUUGAGGGCCUGAAAACCCCACCAUUUCCUUGGUACUAGUAUUCUCUGCGUUUGGGACAAAUGAUGCAUGGCUGAAAAAAAGAAAUGAAAAUAAUGGGGAAUAAGUUCAUGAUAA